rnacentral:rRNA from 1 species
CAGUAGCCGCGGUAAUACGAAGGGUGCAAGCGUUAAUCGGAAUUACUGGGCGUAAAGCGUGCGUAGGCGGUUUGUUAAGUCUGUUGUGAAAUCCCCGGGCUCAACCUGGGAAUGGCAAUGGAUACUGGCAAGCUAGAGUGUGUCAGAGGAUGGUGGAAUUCCCGGUGUAGCGGUGAAAUGCGUAGAGAUCGGGAGGAACAUCAGUGGCGAAGGCGGCCGUCUGGGACAACACUGACGCUGAGGCACGAAAGCGUGGGGAGCAAACAGGAUUAGAUACCCGUGUAGUCCCUGUCUCUUAUAC